UGUUGAUGAAGAUGAGGCUGCAAAUUUAAGACCUGAGGCAAAACCGGGAAAUGGAGGUGGGAGCGAAACCAACACCUGGCUCAGAGCAGUGGCCUUGCCGCCGCCGCCACUGCCGCUGCCGCCGAGGGUUUCUCUGGCCAGUGUUGCUCCGACCCGCCUACAGCAUGGGAAAUAUCUUCGCAAACCUCUUCAAGGGCCUUUUUGGCAAAAAAGAAAUGUGCCUUCUCAUGGUGGGCCUGGAUGCUGAGGGGAAGACCACCAUCCUGUACAAACUGAAGCUGGGUGAGAUGGUGACCACCAUUCCCACCAUAGGCUUCGACAUGGAGACGGUGGAGGACAAGAACAUCAGCUUCACUGUGUGGGACGUGGGUGGCCAGGACAAGAUCCGACCUCUGUGGCAUCACUAUUUCCAGAACACACAAGGUCUCAUCUUUGUGGGGGACAGCAACGACAGAGAGCGUGUGAACGAGGCCCGUGAGGAGCUCAUGAGGAUGCUGGCGGAAGAUGAGCUUAGGGAUGCCAUCCUGCUGGUGUUCGCCAACGAGCGGGACCUCCCCAACGGCAUGAACGCGGCUGAGAUCACAGACAAGCUGGGGCCGCAGUCCCUGCGCCACAGGAACUGGUACAUUCAGGCCAUCUGUGCCACCAGCGGGGAUGGGCUGUAUGAGGGACUGGACUGGCUGUCCAAUCAGCUCCGGAACCAGAAGUGAGCCACGCCCCCGCCCCUCCUUCCACCCUGUUUUACUCUCAUGUGGUGGGAGUGCCAGAAGCUGUCUCCAUGGUUGGUCACAGUGUGCUUCACCAUGCUGUAAAUGUGCAGACGCAGCCUGCAGCCGGGUUUUUAUUUAAUGUAAAUAGUUUCUGUUCCCAAAGAGGCAGUUUCUGGUACUCCUAUGCAAUAUUACUCAGCUUUUUUUUAUUGUAAAAAGAGAAUCAACCCACUGUUCAAUACUGAGAAGGGAUGUUAGGCACGCGGGGCCUCCAGGAGUCACUGUGUCCAACCAGCCUGCCAAGCCUCCUCUGGGCAUUAGGUCUGUGUUGAGAUCCAUUUUGGUGGUUGGUUUUUAACCUGAACUCAGUGCAUUUUUAAAAUCGUU